UGCUUCAGAUCACUGAAUUUUCAGUGUUGAGGUGAUAUUUUCCUAUUCCCCAUUGAGCUUGCCUCUUUCUGGCUUGGUGACUGGCAAUGAUCCAGAUGGUGGCUGGCCUAAGAAACAUUUCCUGAGUGCCUGAGAUACCCAAAGGUCCCCUGCUGAAGACAGAUAGCAUGAGCAAGAUAUAAAUGUUUGGUUUUAAGCCAUGGAGAUUUUGUAAUUGUUACCAUGGCAUCACCUACCCUCCCUAUCCUGACUGGCCCAGAGUCCAGUGAAAUAAGGAGCCAGUCCACAAGAAAAAAAUAGUGUCAGAGAGGCCCAUGUAUUACAAUAGAGAUCUCUGAGCCAACAGUGAUUUCAGUGGGGUGAUAUCCCGAAGCCAGCUUUCUCUACUUCAAGUACAGCAAUUUUACAGCCCUACAGACACGAAGAAGCACAUGUUUCUCAGAACAUGAUUAUUUUGGAAUCUCUGACAGCAGCUCUCCCCACCUUCUCGCGUCCCUGAGGAAUACUGUCUCACAGUAACAGGACUACGACGAGUAAUUUUCAGAUGGGCACAUAUUCAGCAUAAGGACUUCUUUACAGCUUCCACAGAUGUGGCUGUAUGACUGAGCACUCUUGAAGGAGAUUGGUCUCAUUUGCUCAGCCCUUGUGGUCCAAAGUGCAGGAGCUGGAGAAGAACUCAACUACAGCAUCCCUGCCAACU